GAGGACGAUUUUGGAAAGAAAUAGCAUAGUCGAGGAUGCAAUUGGUCAAUUUUGAAAGUCGAGGACCAAAGUGGUGAAAUUCUCAUAGUCGAGGGAC